rnacentral:rRNA from 1 species
UACAGAGGGUGCGAGCGUUGUCCGGAUUUAUUGGGCGUAAAGAGCGUGUAGGCGGCCAGACAGGUCUGCUGUGAAAACUCGAGGCUCAACCUCGAGACGCCGGUGGAAACCGUUUGGCUAGAGUCCGGAAGAGGAGAGUGGAAUUCCUGGUGUAGCGGUGAAAUGCGCAGAUAUCAGGAAGAACACCCGUGGCUAAGGCGGCUCUCUAGUACGGUACUGACGCUGAGACGCGAAAGCAUGGGGGAGCGAACAGG